AGACGUCUACAUUAGAUACCCGCGUAGUCCCAGCCGUAAACUAUGCGCGUUAGGUGUAUCGGUGACCACGAGUUACCGAGGUGCCGAGGGAAACCGUGAAACGUGCCGCCUGGGAAGUACGGUCGCAAGGCUGAAACUUAAAGGAAUUGGCGGGGAGCACAACAACGGGUGGAGCCUGCGGUUUAAUUGGACUCAACGCCGGGAAGCUCACCGGAUAGGACAGCAGAAUGAUUGCCGGGCUGAAGACCCUGCAUGACUAGCUG
rnacentral:rRNA from 1 species